rnacentral:rRNA from 1 species
CCCUGAAUCGUGUAGGGGACGGAGCUCGCCUCCCUCCCCGCCCCCAAAACCUCGGCGACGUGCGGACACUUGGCCUUUGCAGCGAUGUGCUGGAGGGCCAAGCUAAAGGGUCCCGCGCCGUCGCGGUCGAGGGUCACAUUGAAUGCCGCGAUCGAAAGCGUGGAUUCCCCGCGGUGCGAAGAGACUCGGACGCAAAUUCUGGAUCACAACUGGUGCCUUUCGAAACGACGUCUACGUCGGAGCGAGCGGUCCCUGCUCGGUUGUAGUUCGGAGGAAGCAAGUCGGGACUGCCGCAACCCCCCGUUGCGUUUGCUCAGGUGUUAACUCGCCCCAGGGAGCGUUCUGUGUUCAGGAUGGGUGCACUCGCAUGAUCUGCGUGGCAGGGGCCCCCGUCCGACGACAAGACUCUCCCUUGCGGCGACUCCCACCUUUGCGAGGUGAUGGGGCGGGGACACACCACAGCGUUCUUCGUCGCACCCCCCGGGUGCUCGGAGGGCGGGAUGUGUCAACACCCAACACACGGGUGCGCACCGCGCACCUURGAAAUCCAAAAGAAUGAAGUGCGAUCCAGCGCCUUGUGCGCUCGGGUCGGACGAAAGAGAAAAAAACAUAACAAAAUCACGACUCUCGGCAACGGAUAUCUCGGCUCUCGCCACGRUGAAGAAUGUAGCGAAAUGCGAUACUUAGUGUGAAUUGCRGAAUCCCGUGAAUCAUCAAGUCUUUGAACGCAAGUUGCGCCCGARGCCUCGGCMAAGGGCACGUCUGCUUGGGCGUCGCACUCCAAAAUUGCCCUCCCCCGCGAGGAGCGUAGAUGGCCGUCCGUGUCCGCAAGUGGGGCGGUCGGCUGAAAUGAGCACGAGGUCCGUCGAUCCGUCGCGACGAGCGGURGUUCCCAAAGGCCGGCGUUGGUUUGCGCUGAUCGAGCGAUGCCUCGUGUGGAACUUUAUCUUUGGUGCCCCGGCCCGCCAGAGCGCGGGCACGGUGYAUCUCUCUACCGCGYCCCCAAGUCAGGCGUGAAUACCCGCUGAGKUUAAGCAUAUCAAUAAGCGGAGGAAAAG